rnacentral:rRNA from 1 species
GACGAACGCUGGCGGCGUGCUUAACACAUGCAAGUCGAACGGAAAGGCCCUGCUUGCAGGGUACUCGAGUGGCGAACGGGUGGGUAGCACGUGGGUGAUUUGCCCUGCACUUCGGGAUAAGCCUGGGAAACUGGGUCUAAUACCGGAUAGGAGCCAUUUUUAGUGUGAUGGUUGGAAAGUUUUUUCGGUGUAGGAUGAGCUCGCGGCCUAUCAGCUUGUUGGUGGGGUAAUGGCCUACCAAGGCGGCGACGGGUAGCCGGCCUGAGAGGGUGGACGGCCACAUUGGGACUGAGAUACGGCCCAGACUCCUACGGGAGGCAGCAGUGGGGAAUAUUGCACAAUGGGCGCAAGCCUGAUGCAGCGACGCCGCGUGGGGGAUGACGGCCUUCGGGUUGGAAACUCCUUUCGCUAGGGACGAAGCUUUUUGUGACGGUACCUAGAUAAGGAGCACCGGCUAACUACGUG